UCUUGUCUCAUGGUUUUGGCAGGUGCAACAGUCUAAUUUUCAAAAUUAUCUGUCGGUUUAUUCCUCUCAUUUCCGUAUAAGCUCUGAAGUUGAGCAGUCGUCGUGGGUCUCACGAUUCCAGAACCGUGCAGGUUCUCCUCAGCACGUCUCGUCGAUCAGAUUUGGGACUCUUUGGAAGGGUGGAAGCCCAAGAAGAGGUGCAGUUUGACAUAACAGCUGUGUCUUCCUCCACACCACUUUUAAGCUGAUCCAUGGCAGGAAAGGCCAUUGGUGUAGAAUUGUCUCCUUUGUGCAUCUGUAUCCUUGCUAAGUACUGUCUAUUAAUGUCUGUAAUGUCUGAGUUUAUUUUGUAUAAAGCUCUAUGAAAAUGACAGUAAAAUUAGUUUUGUGUUCAAUUUUUUGCAAUUUUGUAAUGCAAAACUCACUAAAAAUAUUUUUGGGGUGGAAAGUAAGGACAAUUGCCACCUUUUGGGCCCUUACCUUUCUCAGAAAAAGGGUUCCGAUGAAAGUAAGCAGGAAGUUGGGGAGGAGUAUCCGUUGAAAGUU